UGGGGGGAUUUGGGGAGAAAAAGGAAAAAAAUAAAAAUAAAAAAUCUUAAAAAUAAAUAAAUAAAUAAAACACACUGGACUGAGGAAGAUUAGGUUCUCCAAAAGACUGAAUCAAGAGCUGAGGAAAAUAAUUUUUAGAAUCUAACUCACCAAUUGUUAAGUCAGGUGGUUUCUAUAGUCAAAUUAAAGCCCCUUCCUGCCCCUCUCUAACGCCCUGGUCAAAAACAACAGAAACAAAAACCCAGUCUGUCCCAUGGUGGCUACCUUUGGAAACUGAGAAUGCUUUUAACUCUCCCUUGGAAUUCUUUUGCUUCCUGUAGAAUCUUGCAUAUAAUCUGAGUUCCAUUUGUUACGGUUUAAAGGAGCUAGAAGAAACUGUGGGAACCAGGGUCAACUAUAUGGAUUGUACCUGUAAAAGCACCAGGACCACAAAAAUACUGCCCGGGGACUAGCUGAUGAACAAAACCAUUUGUCUACUUGUAGACAAAUGGCAGCUGCCCAUUACUCCAACUUUCACCUCGAGCAGUCCCCGGCUUGCAUGCAAGUAUCCUGGAACGAAACCGCAGCUGACCAUGGGGCUGGGGAAAGAGGCUACUGCCACAUAAAAGCAGAGAGAGCAAAAGCUAUCAUCAAAAGUAUGCCUUCUCUCAGAAGCAGUGGGUCCCAGCCAAGAUGGCUACCACGUGAAAAUGAGACAAGCAGGCAUAUCAUCAAUCCCAAAACAACUCACAGGAACCGUUCGAAAACAAACCACCUCAGGGGGCACGUUCCACCCUACUUUUGACUGUCAGCAUGUCUGUCACCUGCACACCCACUAAUAAACAAAUAAAAAAGUGGUUCCAUGUUACUCUCCAUCCCAGUUCUCUCCUGCGGGGGUUAGAAUAUUCACAAAGCAAGGCAGAGGAGGUAACCAAAGCCUCUGAAGGGCACAAUCAGGCAUUAUGAAGUUUGGAAAAAGUCAGGGUAAUAACCAUUGCCCUCUUCCCUUUUCAAAAAGGGCCACCAUUUCUUUCCUCAGCUGCACACAGGUUGGAUUGAAACGUGGCAGCAGCCUCACAAAAGCAGUCCUUUGAAAAGAAAAUAAUUACUAUCCAUUGCCUUUCCUGUGUGCCUAGCUUUGU